rnacentral:SRP_RNA from 1 species
GGAGGCCGGCGACGGACGAGUUCCUCGCCAACCCGGUCAGGUCCGGAAGGAAGCAGCCGUAACGAGUUCAGAUUCGGGUCGGCGUCCGGUCUCCCAC